UCGAGAAUUUUUCUCAAUGGGCGCAAGCCUGAAGGAGCGACGCCGCGUGGAGGAUGAAGGCCUUCGGGUUGUAAACUCCUGUCAUUUGGGAACAAAAUUUCCGCUUAACUGGCGGGGACUUGAUAGUACCAGAAGAGGAAGAGACGGCUAACUCUGUGCCAGCAGCCGCGGUAAUACAGAGGUCUCAACCGUUGUUCGGAUUCAUUGGGCGUAAAGGGUGCGUAGGCGGUCGCGCAAGUCGGAUGUGAAAUCUUAGGGCUCAACCCUGAAACUGCAUUCGAUACUGCGUGGCUAGAGUACUGGAGAGGAGACUGGAAUUUACGGUGUAGCAGUGAAAUGCGUAGAUAUCGUAAGGAAGACCAGUGGCGAAGGCGAGUCUCUGGACAGUUACUGACGCUGAGGCACGAAGGCCAGGGGAGCAAA
rnacentral:rRNA from 1 species